rnacentral:misc_RNA from 1 species
CCCCCCCCGCCUUGUCGGGCGAGGGGCGGCCGCGGCGCGGNCGUCGCGCGCCCACGGACGUAGCGGCCGUCAGGCCCUUGUCCCGGUCGGGCUCCCGACGUCCCGCGAGCGCUCUCGGAUGCGGCGGAUGCNGCGGGCUUCGGGGACUUCGUUUCCCUGCACCUGGACCUCGGUCGGUCGUCGAGCCGCCCUCGUCGAGACGACGGCCGGNUCGCCGUCGGGCCCCUCUCGCCCCCCGCGGGCGGGCGGGCGCCCCGGCGGCGGUGCCGGCGU